GGGGGAGCGCUGGAUAUUGGGCUGUGUCCCCAGCGCCCCUGGCUCCGGGGCCUGCACCACUGGAAUCGUGCUCCCGGGCCGCACACUCCCCU
rnacentral:pre_miRNA from 1 species